CAUAGUCUUUCACCUUUUAUGUAAAUUCAACUAUUGCUAAUUUUUAUCUCGGGGUGUUGAUUACUCAAUUUUAUUAGUCAUGUUGAUUACAUUGUCCACGACCACUUAUUACUUUUUAAGCCAAAGACGUUGAGUGGAAGUAGGCUGUGUUAGGUUCAGAACUUAUCAACCGUAUGCAUGUCAGUAUGUUUGUUUUAUUAUAUUCUAUUAUGGCUAUUAUUUAUUCUAGUUUUGGUGGUUUUGUUUAUUCUAUACCUUGAAAACCUCUUCCUGCUUGCCCAAAGUUUUAUGAAGAAUCAAAAUUCUUGCUCUCAUGAUCUGUUGUUGGACAGACAUGAGUAUCCAAUGGGCCUGCACCAACUCAUGUUGGGCAGCUAUGCAGGAUGCUUCUAGGUUUAAUUGGCUGUAAUGUUUGGGGAAAAUAUUGUCUUUGAAGUUCUAAAUUAGGACCUCUCAAAAGGAUCCAAUCUUGAUGGCAUUUUAAUUUUUUGAGACCAAGAAUUGAAAUCUCAGGAUUAUUGGAAACAAUGAAUAUGGGUGUAGCUCUUUCAGGGUUUUAUGGUGGUUAUAUUUAAGGUUAAAUGAAAAUUAAUGGGGUGUGUGUGUGUGUGUUGAAAGAGAGAGAGAGGGAGAGAGAGAGAGAGAGAAGAUGAACGGAAUAAACCUAUCAAGCACACUUUCUCAGAGCUUUGUAACCUACUGAGAUCUCUCUAUUAAUCUCUAAUUGACGAAUAAUAUAGUUGACAUGUUACCUGCUCAUUACACCUUUCCUUGAUAGACUAGAAAAGGAGAGCUGUUUAGUCACUUUGAUUAAUAUAGGUGCUACAGAUAACUCAAAUGUAAUUAAAAAGAGUAUAUCAGAAAGAUUAAACCCAAAAGAAGACUCAUUAGCCAUAGUAACAGUCCAUUACAGUUUCAGAUUAUUCCCGACUCCUUUAAAUCAAAGAAACCUGAAGGAAACUAAACUUGCUGCAUUUGAUCUCAGAAGAGAAAAAAACCAUAAAAGAAGAAGCAUCUCAAUUCAAAAUUAGUCAUAUAUAUCCCCACAUCAUUCCAUCAUAUGUUUUCAGAAUAAUUUAGAACAAAAUAUAGCGUUAAGGGCGAACUUGUGUGCAUGUGCCCCAUGUCACAGGUUCAAUUCCCCUUGGGAUCAAACUGCGAUUUAAGUGGUAGGCUAUGACGGUGGGCUGCUGUGCUAGUCUCCCCGGAGGUUUAGGGUCCAUGGGUGAGUGCUAAGGGCUCUGCCAUGAGGUGGUUCCCUGUCAUCGGAAAAAAUAAUAAUAAUAAUAAUCCUUUGAUGAAGACUGGAAAGUUUAAUGUAGCUGCCUGCCAUUUUGCUAUUGCGUGUUGUAAAUCCUAGGAUUUACCCUGACAAAUCUUUGGCAAGCACUAUUCUACAUUGGCUUUCCUUGUUCAGACUCUGCUAACAAAAGGAUAAUAACUGCAGCAAUUAUCUUAUGGAUUCUAUUUAUUUGAGUGCCUUCGUAGACUUUUGCUCUUGCAAAAUUUUCCUCCUGUUACACCGUUGUAAACCAGACAGCUGUGUUGGCAAUACUUGAAAAACUAGUAUGCUUGGCAAACUACAAAUUGGUUUUGGAAAUGUUGAACAUGUAUGGCAGAAGUUACAGAGUUGGUUCGAAUAUAGAUAGCAGCAGAAGUUUUGGUCAUUAUAUGUUGGCACUGGUAUUGCUUGUAAGAAUAUUGUGUUAAAUCACCAAGUGUCCUAAAAGUGUAAGCUGAUAGGAAGAUGUGAGUUCAACAAUUUAAUAUUAAUUUAAAAUUCCUCGCAUGUAGGCCACCUCCCAUUAGUGUUGUGAUUGAGCACUCAAUAGGGAGUUUCCGGCUAUUUUCGGUUGCCUUCAGAUGGGGUAUGCUGCUGUUUCUGAUCUGCUUGUUCAUUCUAAUGGAUCGCUUCAUUGGGAUGUUUGCUUCACUAGAGCUGUUCAGGAUUGGGAGAUUGAUGAAGUUUCAGCUUUCUUCAGUUUUUUGUACUCUUUGAGGAUUGGUGGUAAUGAUGGGAUAGGAUGUUGUGGAAGUCCAAGGGGAGCAAAAAGUUCACUGUUCGAUCAUAUUAUAAGCUGUUGAUUUUUCAGAAUAGUCCCCUUUUCCUUGGAAGUGUAUUUGGAGGUCUCGCGUGCCUUCCAAAGUUGCUUUUUUUAUAUGGACUGCCUCCCUCUCUUGGGAAAAUUUUGAAGUUGGACAGUUAAAGGAAGCGGGGUAUUAUAGUUAUGGAUUGGUGUUUCAUGUGUAAGAACCAUGGGAAAACUGUGGAUCAUUUACUUUUGCAUUGUGAGGUGGCAAGGACUUUGUAAGAUGGCAUGUUUUGUAGAAUUAGUUUGGCUCGUGUGAUGCCUUUGAGAGUGGUUGAUCUUCUUACGUGGAAAUGGCUUCAUGGUUUUGCUCAAGUGGAUGUGGGUUGGAAGAUGGUUCCUUUGUGUCUUAUGUGGUGCAUUUGGAUGAAAAUGAAUGAGCGGUGUUUUAAUGACAAGGAGCAUACUUUGGAGCAAAUCCGGAACUUUUCUGUGCACUCUUUACUUCUUUGGUUUUCUGCUUUAGUGAUUAAUGGAACCUCUGUUCAUGAUUUUCUGUUGUCACUUUUUGUUUCAUAGAAUGUAUUUAGGUGUUUUCUUUUGCAUACUUCUUGUAUACAUGGGCUUCGCCUAUACAUUCGUUUCUAAUCAAAUUACUUCUUACUUAUAAAAAAAAAAAAAAAGUACUGGUAAUUAUGAUCGAUAUCAUGAUGUGAUACAGUGGUUUGUGGUGGUUCCAGUGGUAGUUGAAGUGUUAAAUUUGUUUGUUAUAAGGUGGUAGUGGCUAU